GUGGGGAAUAUUGGGCAAUGGAGGCAACUCUGACGCAGCCAUGCCGCGUGCAGGAAGAAGGCGCUACGCGUUGUAAACUGCUUUUAACCGGGAAGAAACCCCAGGACGUGUCCUGGGUUGACGGUACCGGAGGAAUAAGCACCGGCUAACUUCGUGCCAGCAGCCGCGGUAAUACGAAGGGUGCAAGCGUUAUCCGGAUUCAUUGGGUUUAAAGGGUGCGUAGGCGGAGCGUUAAGUCAGUGGUGAAAUCCUGCAGCUUAACUGUAGACUUGCCAUUGAUACUGGCGCUCUUGAGUGCGCUUGAAGUGGGCGGAAUGUGCCGUGUAGCGGUGAAAUGCUUAGAUAUGGCACAGAACACCAAUUGCGAAGGCAGCUCACUAAGGCGAUACUGACGCUGAGGCACGAAAGCGUGGGGAUCGAACAGGAUUAGAUACCCGGGUAGUCC
rnacentral:rRNA from 1 species